GAGUGGUCCUGCUGAGAACAAUGACACUGGAGCGCACGUGCACGAGACGACUCCAUUUUUUUCUUUCAGUGUUUGAACAAAUACAACGUCGCCCGGUUGGAAUAUUAUCGCUAUUUUACGAGCAAAAUAGCAUAAAAAUGUAUUUUAAACAGCGUCUGACAUGCUUCGAAGUACGGUAAUGGAAUAUAUGGAAUUUUUUUGUCACGAAAUGCACCGGCGCGUCACCCUUCGGAUAGUGACUUGAAUGCAUGAACAAAACGGCGCUAUUUGGAUAUAACUAUGGAUUAUUUUGAACCAAAACAACAUUUGUUGUUGAAGUAGAAGUCCUGGGAGUGCAUUCUGACGAAGAACAGCAAAGGGCGUUGGAGGUUUAUGUGCUACAUUAGUAAGACUGGUUCUACUCAUGACAUCGAGAGGCUAUGAUUUUGACUUCAAACCCCUGUGCACAAGGAAAUACCAUACCUGGAAAAACCAGUUGGGGAUUCCUCCCUUACAAGACCAUACCUGGAAAAACCAGUUGGGGAUUCCUCCCUUACAAGACCAUACCUGGAAAAACCAGUUGGGGAUUCCUCCCUUACAAGACCAUACCUGGAAAAACCAGUU
rnacentral:lncRNA from 1 species